ensembl:lncRNA
CUUCCCGGUCGAGAGCUCGCCGCUUCUGGAUGGGAAGGCAGCAGGGAACCGAGCGCAGGACCCGGGCAGCCUCCGGAACCUCUCCGAGCCUCGCUCCCAUCCAGCUCGGCCCGGGAGCCAAACGUAAAACACCUGCGCGAGGAACAGUGUCCCACCAAGUGCCAGGAGCACUCUCCCCUUGCUGCUCUGAAAACGCUGGACAUGGUACAUGAACAGGAAGCAGACUUAAUCCAGGACGAUGCGGAGAAUUAAUCUGAUAACCAUUGAGAAAGAGAUUGACAUGACAUUCAACUCCAAAAAUGACUGCAUCAGAGGUUCCAUGAUACAUUUUCAGUGCCUCACCGAUCAAGAGGCUGGUGAUUGAAAUCUCUGGGACAGUGUCAGCAAGGAACCCAUCCCUUGCUGUUUCACAAAAGCCAACAUCCCAGUAAUGACUGUUUCUUCUU